UACGUAGGGGGCGAGCGUUGUCCGGAAUCAUUGGGCGUAAAGCGCGCGCAGGCGGCCAGCAGAGCCCGGCGUGAAAGCCCCCGGCUCAACCGGGGGAGGCCGUCGGGGACCUGGAGGCUGGAGGCCGGUAGGGGAGAGCGGAAUUCCCGGUGUAGUGGUGGAAUGCGUAGAGAUCGGGAGGAACACCGGUGGCGAAGGCGGCUCUCUGGGCCGGACCUGACGCUCAGGCGCGAAAGCGUGGGGAGCGAUCCGG
rnacentral:rRNA from 1 species